rnacentral:rRNA from 1 species
GUGAAAUUGUUGAAAGGGAAGCGCUUGCGGCCAGACCUUGCGCGCCGUCAAUCACCCGUUGUUCUCACCGGUGCACUUGGCGGCGUUCAGGCCAGCAUUGGCCCCGGCGGCUGGACAAAGACCACGGGAAUGUGGCUCUCCUCGGGGAGCGUUAUAGCCCGAGGUGCAAUACGGCCCGCCGGGGCCAAGGACCGCGCUCCUGUCAGGAUGCUGGCGUAAUGGUUGCAAGCGACCCGUCUUGAAACACGGACCAAGGAGUCUAACAUCUAUGCGAGUGUUUGGGUGCCAAACCCAUCCGCGCAAUGAAAGUGAACGGAGGUGAGAGCCCUGGAGGGUGCAUCAUCGACCGAUCCUGAUGUCUUCGGAUGGAUUUGAGUAAGAGCAUAGCUGUUGGGACCCGAAAGAUGAUGAACUAUGCCUGGAUAGGGUGAAGCCAGAGGAAACUCUGGUGGAGGCUCGCAGCGGUUCUGACGUGCAAAUCGAUCGUCAAAUUUGGGUAUAGGGGCGAAAGACUAAUCGAAUCAUCUAGUAGCUGGUUCCUGCCGAAGUUUCCCUCAGGAUAGCAGUGUUGAACGCAGUUUUAUGAGGUAAAGCGAAUGAUUAGAGGCCUUGGGGCUGCAACAGCCUUAACCUAUUCUCAAACUUUAAAUAUGUAAGAAGUCCUCGUUGCUUAACUGAACGUGGACAUUCGAAUGCACCAACAC